UGGGGAAUAUUGGACAAUGGGCGCAAGCCUGAUCCAGCCAUGCCGCGUGAGUGAUGAAGGCCUUAGGGUUGUAAAGCUCUUUCGGCGGGGACGAUAAUGACAGUACCCGCAGAAGAAGCCCCGGCUAACUUCGUGCCAGCAGCCGCGGUAAUACGAAGGGGGCUAGCGUUGCUCGGAAUCACUGGGCGUAAAGGGCGCGUAGGCGGACAUUUAAGUCGGGGGUGAAAGCCCAGGGCUCAACCCUGGAAUUGCCUCCGAUACUGGGUGUCUCGAGACCGGAAGAGGUGAGUGGAACUGCGAGUGUAGAGGUGAAAUUCGUAGAUAUUCGCAAGAACACCAGUGGCGAAGGCGGCUCACUGGUCCGGUUCUGACGCUGAGGCGCGAAAAGCGUGGGGAGCAAACAGGAUUAGAUACCCUGGUAGUCCACGCCGUAAAACGAUGGAUGCUAGCCGUUGGCAGGCUUGCCUGUCAGUGGCGCAGCUAACGCUUUAAGCAUCCCGCUUGGGGAGUACGGCCGCAAGGUUAAAACUCAAAUGAAUUGACGGGGUCAUAGCUGUUUCCU
rnacentral:rRNA from 1 species